rnacentral:rRNA from 1 species
UACGGGGGGGGGUAAGCGUUGUUCGGAAUUACUGGGCGUAAAGGGCUCGUAGGCGGCCAACUAAGUCAUACGUGAAAUCCCUCAGCUUAACUGGGGAACUGCGUGUGAUACUGGAUGGCUUGGAUUUGGGAGAGGGAUGCGGAAUUCCUGGUGUAGCGGUGAAAUGCGUAGAUAUCAGGAGGAACACCGGUGGCGAAGGCGGGUCUCUGGGCCGUAACUGGACGCUGAGGAGCGAAAGCGUGGGGAGCGAACAGG